GACAUCAGUCAAGUAGAUCGGCGACCGGUGGGUGUAUCGCCCAGAGCUAGUCCGGCCGAGCAAAUGAUUUUUUUCUGAGGAAAAUGGAUUGGGAAAUGACUGAAUUAUUAAUGAACAUGGGGUAGGUAUGUGAAUCGAUCAGUGGAAAUCCCCCUCAUAAGAUAUCAGGAAGAACGCCGGCCGGCUUUAUAAUAGAUGUUAUAUUGUGAUCGAUCGUCGCUUGGAGAUAGGUAUGUAUACCUACAAGGAAAGGGCGUUGAAACAGCUACAUACUGGCCUACAGAGUACAUGUGUGUUUAAAGUAUCUUCAUGUGAAAAUAUUAUCCUGUACCAAACAAGACGGACCAACCCAUGGAACCUAACAGACUAACCGAACUAGGCCUACAUGUAUAACCAGUGUUGAUCAAAAAUACAUUUUCCAUAACCCCGUCGAAAGGAAUCGAUAACACUGUAAUGUAGGCUUGUCCUCUGGGUGAUUGAAAACAGCCACUUGAAAAAAUUGUAUCAAUGGAUAUGUGUAUUGCAUACAAAUUCUGAAUAUACACGAUUCACGCACCGUCUAAUCCCCUGAUAGGCUACACAUUCCGUAUAGACAUUUUUUUUCUUUUCAUAUAUCACGCAAAAUAAUGGAAAUAUGAAUAUCGAUCUCGGAGCGUUAACAUUGUGGUGUACUUUCAAUUUGGCUUGUCAUUUCACCUAACCAAAAACUUUUAUAUAGUUCAAUUAACCAAUCCCUCGAAAAACAAACAAACGAAAAAAAUAAUUAGUUUAUUUAUUUCCAAAAGUGUGCUAUUAAUUUACUAAAAAUUGGCCAAUAAUUCAUUUGGUUUUUACGUACAUAUAUAUUUGCAUGGCGAGCGAAACUAUCGUUACAUUUUCUAAUAACAGAGAUAGGCAUACAAAACGUGGAAUUAUACGCCUACACAGCAGCUUAUUCGAGCACUUUAAAACUUUGGGUAGAGGCGUGCUGAGGUCCCGAAGAAGUGUAGGCGGCACUUAAAUGUGUGGGUUCUGCGACACAUGCUAGAAUCGAUUUGACAUUUCCUUGAGCCAUGACAUACCAUUAUAUUGCCACUUGGUUGAGGGCUUAUGACUAAGUCCUGGGGAUCUGAACAAGAACAUAGUUAGCAACAAUCACAAACAGAACUUAACGACCAACGAGUAAAGAAAAAUAAGCAUCAAAAGGAGAAGGUAUUCCUUACAAAAUGUACCUGCCAAAUUUCAUUCGAUUCUGCUAAUGAGGGAGUAGUUGAGAGUAAAUUGACACAGCCCCAAGAAUGAGAAAAUGAUGGAAGAUUUAGACACCGGCCGUGGCACCGAUGUAAAACUUUUACAUUGAGCCCGACCAAGGAAGUUACCGGUGACAGAAUAAAUGUCAAUAGGGUUCGUAGUAACGGUUAGCGUAUUGGCCUUGAUGCUAACAGCUUAAACAGUUUCCUUCGCCCGAAUAACGGCGUGUUGCAAGCUCUGCUUAUUUUUUUUCAUUUCCCUAAAUAAAUAAAACCAAAACAAAUUAAUUAGUUCUGAAUACUAUGGAAAUAUUAAUCCGCUUGUGGAAUCUAAUCUGGAAGCCAUCCUUCGGCCCCGAUUAGAAAAACAUAACUUGACAUGUUUUGUUUUUUUCCAAUAUAAAUAAAAUUCAUCUUCGUUUCCA